rnacentral:lncRNA from 1 species
AUGAGUGGUGCCCGCAGCGAGGCUGCAGAGACACAGCGGAGCCUCGCCCAGGCAGGCACGCUACGGCGGGGCCGAGGCGCAGGACAGGGACGGCAAGGACACGCGGCAGCCUCUGGCUGGGCACGAGAGGGCACAGCAGCCGGGGCCUGGCCUUCUUCAUUAUGCGAAGCCCAACUCCAGGGAGAACCUGGUGCUGCAGACAGAGUGGUUUGUCGAGAGAAGAUGGGGCUUAGCUCUGCGCCUGUCCGCAGGUGCGGUGCCAGCAGACGGGCUUCUGAGCACCCCCGUGACCCAGCUGCCCCCAGCCUGAACCCGGAAGCUGCUGCGUCAGACCCGUCUGGGUGUGAGGUGGUGACUGACCUCGCAAGAAGAAAUUCCUGCUGGGAGAUGCGGUAUUUUGAAAGAAGGGGGCUAUCGCAUCAAACGCACACCUCUAGUAUUUUGUCGAAUUGCUGCUCUCUUGAAUUGUUUGUCAUUGAUUCAUGCUGUUGGUCCAACAGGUGUUUCUUUGGUCACAGCUUGUUGAAGAGUCAGACUGAACAUGAAAAGAGACAGCAGGGUGUCCACAGCACAGCCAGGAUCCCUGGUGUCUUGGGGUCUGUGGUCACCACUCUACUCCCAAGUCCACAGCAUCAUGGUUCAAGAUAGCACUAGGCAGUUUCGUGGCUUCUGUUGGCAAGUCACUAAGCUGUCAGAAUGGAUUUUCUCAACGAAGUCCUGGUGAUAACAUCUGAGAUGGACCCAGCCUGUUCAUUUCUUCAUUCUUCCUGCACUUAUCGAGCACCUACUGCAUGCAUAUUGGGAGACCCCAGAAAUAUAAUGUGAAGUGAACAAAGCACAAGGCAAAUGCUCAUUCAUCUCUAAUAGUUCAUCCUGAUAACUACUCCCGCUCUUGACUUCAGGGGACUGUCCUCUAGGGGCAGCCCCACAGCAAGAUGGAAGGAGCCCCACCCUGCUCUGAUGCACACUUCAGGCCGUCUUCCUACGUGGAAAUCUGGGCUCCAGGUUUGGCCUGGCCCAGCCCUGACCGCUGCUGGCAAUUGGGGAGUGAAUCAGAGAUGAGAGUUCUCUCCCCCCUCUCGCUCACUCUAGCUCACCUCUCCCUGCUUUCAAAUAAAAUGAAAAUAAAAAUUUUAAAAAGAUAAUGG